UGAGCCAAGUUUAGGGUUUUCUCAAAACCCAAGCAGUAUUGAACUGAAGAGUUUGAUCAUGGCUCAGAUUGAACGCUGGCGGCAGGCCUAACACAUGCAAGUCGAGCGGAUGAUGGGAGCUUGCUCCCGGAUUCAGCGGCGGACGGGUGAGUAAUGCCUAG
rnacentral:rRNA from 1 species